GUUUUCCUAUUACUUUCCUUAUUAAAUUUCAGAACGACACUUGCCAGCGCUCGCCGGAAGUGCGAAUUCCGUGUGACACAAAAUAAUCAGCAAUUUGACGGGAGAUUUAUAUCUGUAUUUACCUCAUCUGUGGUUAAAUCUUCCGUAUGAUGACGUUGGACUUAUGCCUGAUUAUACGCGUGAUGGCACAGCGCGCGUUCAAACUUUCCCGCGAGGAAUCGCUUCCGGUGGCGGCACUUCUUGUUCAAUAGUUUUGGAAAGUUUGAACGCGCGCGCGCUGUGCCAUCACGCGUAUAAUCCAAAUAUAAGUCCAACGUUAUCAUACGGAAGAUUCAACCACAGAGUAAAUACAUAUACAGAGUUGUAACUAGUGUACCCACUUUUUUUUGUGCGCAUGCUCGGCAAGUUACUAGAUGCAUGCAUCUGAUUGGAUGACGACUCGCUUCAGCUGCUCGUGGAACUUGCCGAGCACGCGCAGUUGAUCAUUUUUUGCCCAGUCGCCUGAAAAAAAGUGGGUACAUGAAAACAUAAGUUCCGCAGUGUUUACAACGGUCAGUUACAGCUCAGCAUAUGUAUAUUUACUCUGUGAUUCAACCGUCACUUGUAACGCCGUCAUCUGAUGAUCACACUCAGCGUGAAACUCAGAGUUGUAUAUUAAUAUAUGCCUCCUUGCAUGGCGAUCUAAAAUUUAUAACAAAGAUAAUGAAAUAAUUAUUGACAAUAAUAUAAACAAUUACAUUUAAACAGAUUAUUACAAUAAUAUACAUUUAGUAAGUUAGUCAAUUGGAAGUUACAAUUAUAAAUGUCUUCGCCUGGCAGCCACUGGGUUUGAUAUAAUUAUUGACAAUUGAAUAUAAACAAUUACAUUUAAACAGAUUAUUACAAUUUUAUACAUUUUGUAAGUUAGUCAAUUGGAAGUUAGAAUUAUAACUAUAAUAGCUAUUAUAGCUAUAAAUAGCUUACAAUAAUGUUUAUUUCCCGAACCGGUUUGACAUAUUUUUACAAAUGGCCAAUCACAUGCGAGAUUCAAAUUCUGAACUUAAUCAUGUGUGGAAGUGGGAUUUGCAACUGAUGUGACCAGAGGCUCUUCCUUCUAGUCUCUUGUUUCUGUCGCUUCGCUAAGAGCCACU